GAUUGUGACACAUGUAGAUAUAUGUGUCAUGCAUGAAGAAGGAAUUUAUAAAAGUAUGACACAUGUUAAAACAUGUGUCAUGUGUAGAGAACAAAACUUGGAAAUCAAGUUUACUCUAAAUUAAAAAUAUUUAAUAAAUUAUAUAUAAAAAUAAAAUAAAAGAAAAGGGCAUGUGGCUUUUCUUUUAGUAAGGUAACGUGGCUUUAGGACAACAAAAAUGAGCAAGGUGGCAUCAAUUAUGGAGAAAUGAUAAAUUAGUCCAAUUAAAAAUUUAGGGGCUAAACAUGACUUUAAGCCAUUUCAAAUAAAAAUAGAGAUGCACAUACCUAUCUUAGACCCAAAACAAAACAUUUCAUCCCUUUCUUCUCCAAGUAUUCGGCCAAACCCACCCACACUCCAAACUUCCAUUUUUCUCAUUUCUAAACUUAAAAUAAAGAUGUGACGGAAAGUCAACUAUGGACGGAUCAAAUUGAAGGAGCACCGGUUGGAAUAGACCGAGUGGCUAAUAGUGGAUCAUCGUGGCGUAUUUAAUUAUUUAUGAAGCGACAGUCUGAAUAUUGCCUGUGUUUGGACGAGACUUCAUCUUUUUGAUUCUUGAAGUCUUCGUUUUGCGUAUAUGGUAAUUGGUCUUAUUUUGAUCUGUAGAGCUGCAGUAGAAUAGAUAGACAGACGCCUUAGCAUGUCAGUAUUUGCGAUGCUUGCCACGCAUGAACUCUGUUUUGUUUUCAUCGCACGAUUAUAAUAUAUUUUAACGACAUGCAUUAAGGUAUUGGUAAAUAGUUGCAACCCGGGUACACGGUAGUACCGGGAGUUUUGAGAUACAGUGUAAAGGAAACUGUACGCAACUAUGUUAUGUGUAUAAUAUGGGGCCCAGCGUGGCUAUAUGCAUGAUUGCAUGUUAUCGGUUUUGUAAAAGACGGUAUUCGAGGAAUACGCGUUAAAACGAUAACCAGUAAUUGAAAAGUAACGGUUUUAAUUUAAUGAAUGUGUAUGCAUAAUGAAAUGCAUUUAAAUCCAUAAUGAAAUGGUCUGCAUAGUGAAAUGCAGUUAUCACCAUAAUGAGAUGGUGUGUGCAUAAUGAGAUGCAUUAUUAACCCCAGUGUAGUGGGUAUGAAACUUGAAUACAUUAAUUAAAUAGAUAAUUUAAUUGUAAAGUUUCAUUAUGAUUUUAUCGGAACGUUUUUAAACGGAGAUUUUAAAAUGUUCGAAAAUGUGUUUUGAAUUCCGCGAAAAAUUUGAAGUGAUUUUUAAAGUGUUUUUAAGGCUUGCUACGGAUUUCGGAGCAACCACUCCCAUUCCCUAGCGCCGGUCUCGACGCCGAGAAUCGGGUCGUGACAAUUUAACUGAAAUAAAUGACGACAAGACUUAUGUAAAAAUAUCAAAUCAUUUAUUUAUUAUUUUUUUUUCUAAAUUGCUUUAAAAUGGUGCUCUCAAAUAUUUUAUCUAUGGAAAACAGAUAGCUCACCACUUUCAGAAAGAUAAAAUAAUUCCCAAGGGUUAGUGUUUUUAGGUGUAUUUUAUUUACUU